GCCAGUAAUGACACCCACUUCUCAGAAUCAUUGUGAAGGCUGACGGCAGUAAUGGCUGCCAACCGCUCGGUCACCAGUGGGCCGGACUGAUAGUCAACACCUGUGCUUUCCACGCGCUGGGCACACCGUUCUCAGUGGUCUGGGGGAAUUCAUUUCAUAGUCAGAAACAACUCUAUAAGUUAAGUUAUAUGGCAUAGUUGACUUUAAGAAAAGGAGGUCAUCCUGGGUGAGCCUGACCUAAUCAGAAAGUCCAGCAAGAGAAUCAGGGCCCCGAUCCACAACCAGAAGCUACUGAAUUCUGCUACAGAUGCAUGAUCUUGGAAGAGAACCUGAGCUCCAGAUCAGAACUCAGUCUGGCCAACACUUUAUGAGAACCUUAACAGGGAAUUCCUUCAAGCCAUGCCCAGAUCUGACCAAAACCAUAGGCUAAUAAAU